rnacentral:rRNA from 1 species
UACGUAGGGGUGCGAGCGUUAAUCGGAAUUACUGGGCGUAAAAGCGUGCGCAGGCGGCUUUUGCAAGACAGAUGUGAAAUCCCCCGGGGCUCAACCUGGGGAACUGCAUUUGUGACUGCAAGGCUAGAGUACGGCAGAGGGGGGAUGGAAUUCCGCGUGUAGCAGUGAAAUGCGUAGAUAUGCGGAGGAACACCAAAUGGCGAAGGCAAUCCCCCUGGGCCUGUACUGACGCUCAUGCACGAAAAGCGUGGGGAGCAAACAGG